rnacentral:rRNA from 1 species
UACGGAGGGAGCUAGCGUUGUUCGGAAUUACUGGGCGUAAAGCGCACGUAGGCGGCUAUUCAAGUCAGGGGUGAAAGCCCAAGGCUCAACCUUGGAAUUGCCUUUGAUACUGAGGGCCUUGAGACCGGAAGAGGUCGGCGGAACUGCGAGUGUAGAGGUGAAAUUCGUAGAUAUUCGCAAGAACACCAGUGGCGAAGGCGGCCGACUGGUCCGGUUCUGACGCUGAGGCGCGAAAGCGUGGGGAGCAAACAGG